GUCAUUAUGGGCUAGACUGUUUACUAAGUUCCCGCAUCUGUAUGGACAAGAUUUCUCAUGGCUGAAUAUUUCCCCUUCUUGUAGAGUAUCCUAGAAUGACGUACACGUCUGCGUUCAUGUGGAGAAGGUGGAUGAAAAUUAUAAAUAAGGAAGGGAGAACACAGGCAGGCCAGCUUUGGUAAAUCAAGGAAUAAAUAAUACGCUCAAUUCUACUUAAUGUGAAUAUCUGGUAUUCUGAAAAGUCCUCCUGUGGAAGAUGGCUGAUAAGCGCCUUUGUAGUUGAGUGGAGUCUGAACAACCCAGGUCCCUCUGGGCACUCAUGGGAAAGCACUGGGCUGGGGUUAGGAAACUGGACCUGGUUAUAGACCUAUCAAGGAGGUGACCCUGGGCAAGUCAAGUAGUUCAGUCACUUUCCUUGUUCCAAAGUGGGGACUACUCUGUCACUGGCAUCUACAUUGAGAGAAAUAAUAUGUGUGAAAACAUUGGAAAAUGUAUGUAAAGAGAAGGCAUUUAAAUGACUAUAUUUUGAUUGAAUUAAAAAUUUAAA